CAAACCAGGAAACAACUACAACAGCUCCUGCCUUGUUAUGUGUUGGAUGGAUGUUGGGUGACAGAAGCUCCCCAUGACAGUGUGUGCUUGAGCCCAGAACCCCCCUGUGUGCUGGGCUGCAUCCCCAAGGCUUGAGCAACAGGUCAAGGGAGGGGAUUCUCCCCCUCUGCUGCUCUCUGGGGAGACCCCCACGUGCAGUCCUGUGUCCAGCUUUGGGGCAGCAACACAAGAGGGACUUGGAGCUGUUGGAGCAAGUCCAGAGGAGGCCACAGUGAUGCUGUGAGGGCUGGAGCAGCUCUGCUCUGGAGACAGGCUGAGAGAGCUGGGCUGGUUCAGCCUUGGGAAGAGAAGGCUCCAGAGAGAUCUUAGUGCAGGUCCCAGUGCAUAAAGGGGCCAACAAGAAAGCUGGAGAGGGGUUCUAGUUGAAACUAGAUGAGCUUUAAAGGUAGCUUCCAACCUAGACCAUUCUGUGAUUCUAUUAUGAUCCUGUGGAACACGAAGGUCUGAAGUUCUUUCUAAUCAUGUCUUCUGUAUCACCUUUCCAGUGUAUCUGCAGGUCUUUCAGAUUGCUUCUGUAGAGUAAGCACAUGCAAGCAUGAAAGCACAUGCAGCUGCAUGAAGAUCCUGGCAAUGCACAGAUGGCAGAAGGAUGAACAGAGUCACUGUUGCUUUGUGAUGAUUCAUUUUUCACUUACUUCCUAGAGGGAAAUUGCUUUAAAACUGCUGCCAUACUGAAGUUACUUCAUGAGAUUGCACUGUGGCACAGACUUCCUUUUUUUUGUGAGACCUCCAAAACUUUGCAUAUUUGAAUAUUGGAGUAUUUUAUACUACAGGGAAAGGUGUGAAAAUGGCAUCAGUCCUUCAACUAAGACAAUAUUUUAAUUUUUCUGCACCUUGAUUGUCUUCCAGAAAUAAACAAAGAACACAUAUUUCUGCAGUAUGAAGCUACUUCAACUCUUAAUGCAGUAUGCACUCCAGACUAAAGGCUGGCUGGCUGCAGCUGUGCAGACAGUUUACCUUGACAGUUCUUGUGCAUUGCUCUUCAUUUACUUCUGAAGCUGAGGAGUUCCCUUUUUCCUGUUGGUUCUAAAUUUAAAUCAAGAUAAAUUUUCAAGAUAAUAUCAUUAGAAGAACAGAUCCAUGUGUCCUUUAACUCUAAUAGGACAAGAAGAGGUGAUGCCUUUAGCCUAAUACCUUGUUAGGGUAAUUACCACCUUUGGCAAACCAUCAAGCUUUUGGUCAUAUACAGAAAGCCUUCUUCAGGUAUGCUUAAAGUCUUCAGGUACUUAAAGACAAGGUUUUCUCUUUUUAAGGUUUAAAACAACUGGUAUCUUAACUCAUUUUCCAAACCAGAAACAUACGGAUGUCCAGAAUUGAAUUCAUUGAUGGUUUACAUGAAAAGGGGAAAAGUUAUAACAAGUGGGGUUUGUCUUUCUCUCUUCUCUCUUCUUCUUCCUCUCUCUUCUUUUUUUUUUUUUUAUUUAUUUGCUUGUUUUUUCUUUUUUAUCUAUUGUGUCUUUUGUUUUGUUUUAAAGUCCAUGAAUUUGUAAUACUGCAAUGAUUGGAAAGCUACUGCACUCAAAAUUGUAGAGCUUUUUUUUUUCAGGUGGAUUCAGACCUCACUGUUUUGAGUCAGAAUGAUCACUACAAGAACAUCUGACACUGAUUGCUGCUGAAAUGCCUGAUUAUGAGAGGGACAUGUAGAAGAGAUCUACUGGAAGCAAGACUGAUGAGAUGGCAGUUAGUGGGAAAAAAUAAUUCAGGAGGGAGUUGUGUCAGAUUUUUUAAAAGAUGCCUCUCUCAUCAGAAAGCAGAUAAAUGUACUUCAGAAGGCAAAUAAACAGCAAAUUUCUUGUACAGAAAAAAAUGCGUAUCCAGCUUCCUGCAGACAGAAAUCUGUUUUUUAAGUAGUUGAGAAGCACAUAUGAAAUCAGCAGUGUGUAAACCCUUUCUUGUUGAGUGCAGUACUUGUGGAGUAUGAGAUAUUUCCACUGGCACUAAUAUCACAACUGCUGCGUUUUCCAUGUCCACAGCUGUCUGCUCCUUACUGCAGGCAUAGCCUAAAUAGCCAUUUGUGAGUUGGAGGCCAGUCCUGCCAAAUGCUGAGUUUCUGCUGUAGGAGUCACUGGCUUAGUAUCUGGCUACGGACUGAUCUGCAGGGACUAAGGCAAGUCUGAUGUUGAAGCUGCCACUGUGAUGAGUGAUGGGAUAUCUUUACAGUGAGGGUGGUAAAACAGGCACGGGUUGCCCAGAGAGGUGGUAGAUGCACCAUCUCUGGAAACAUGCAAGGUGAGGCUGGAUGUGGCUCUGGGCAACCUGAUCUAGUUGAAAAUGUCCCUGCUCGUUGCAGAGUGGUUGGACUAGGUGACCUUUGAAGGCCCCUUCCAACCUAAACUGUUCUAUGAUACUAUGAUUGUGAACCUUAUUGAAGAAUGAGAAAUGCAAAAGGCAGGAUUUCAAUACAUGCUUCUAUGAGUGUAGACUAUUAGGGAGGGAUUGGAUCCAUCAUAGAGGCAGAAGAAUCUUUGGCAGCAGGCUGGCCAAUUUGGUGAGAUGGGCUUUAAACUGAAGGACUUGGGGUGGUGGGGAGAGAGGGAGGCUGUCCAGAGCGUCAAUGCUCACACCAAUGCUUCCUCCUGGGGAGUAGGUCUAGCUAACCAGUGCAGGGAUAGGUGUUGCUUGAUUGCCUAUGAAGGUAAGGAUUUUGAGGCUAACUGUAUUAAGGGUGUUUAUGGUGAAUCUUACACCCUUUCUAAGGAACCUAAUUGUGAAAUUAUAAAUUAAGCACCCAUUGCUUUUAGGAACUCCACAGAAUAUACCUUGUGCAGCACUUUGAACACAAGCCUAUUCCGUCUGCUGUAACUUUCAGGUGUAUUAGACCCAGAGACCCCUCAACUGUAUUCUGUCAGCAUGUGGAGAGAAUUACACAGCCAAGUAUGCAAUAGUUUAAGUGUCCUGUGCCUUACCUAACUUCUCAGCAGUUCUCUCCAUGAAAAGCCCUGUUUUGUAAAAUUAUUCCCAAAGCAAGAUACUUCUUACAGCUUGAUUAAAGAAGGUUGGAAAGGAUGCUAAAUUAGGGACUCCCUCACUGCCUGCCUUGCUUCAGAUACGAUGUGUAUUGUAAUUUGUUUUUGACUGAUAUGCAUUUCCCUCCUGGCCAGCACAGCCCUUCUUUAUCUCUCAGAAUAGUAGAUUUUCUGGAUGAAUUAUGUUAAACCAGUGCCUCUUUGCCUGAGGCAGUUGAAGUUACUGUCAACAUGUUGACGAAGUUACUGGUCUACUUUUCCACUGAGCCCCUUCAAAGCCACUCAGCAGAUGAAUGAGACACAUUGGAGGACUCCAGCUAUUCAGUUAGUAACUGAACCAAAAUGUUAUUUGUGAUUUUACCAGCAGUUCUUGUGAACAGCAUUAUUUGAUAGUCACUGGUGUGGAAAGACAUUAAACAGUUCUCAUCCCUCA